AUCGAACGCUGGCGGCAGGCCUAACACAUGCAAGUCGAGCGGAGCGGCGGACGGGUGAGGAAUGCCUAGGAAUCUGCCUGGUAGUGGGCGAUAACGUCCGGAAACGGGCGCUAAUACCGCAUAAUAUCAAAUGACCCUAGGUCGGAUUAGCUAGUUGGUGGGGGAAAGGCCGACCAAGGCGACGAGCCGUAACUCGUCUGAGAGGAUGAGCAGUACCACUGGAACUGAGACACGGUCCAGACUCCUACGGGAGGCAGCAGUGGGGAAGAUGGGGCAAUGGGCGAAAGCCUGAUCCAGCCAUGCCGCGUGUGUGAAGAAGGUUUUCGGAUUGUAAAGCACUUUUAGUUGAGAGGCGUGACCAACAGAGUAAGCACCGGCUAACUUCGUGCCAGCAGCCGCGGUAAUUC
rnacentral:rRNA from 1 species